UUCAAAACAUUAUGAAAUUAAUUAAGGAUUGCAUAAGCACUUUGCACAUUGAAUUGCCGAUUGCAAAAUAUAUUUUCAAAUUACAUGCACAGAUUAAAUAUUGAAAUGAGAAAUGCAUGCUCUGAUUGAAUAUUGAAUUGACAAUUGCAAAAUGAAUUGCCAUUUGAAUUUUUGUGCUUAUAAUCUUCCAUACUUGUUCAGUCCAAGAGCCGUACGUUUGUAUUUGGUUAACGUUUGCUCCCUUAACUGUAAUCCUUUAUUAUGUUUAUGAUUUAAGUUCUGCAUUUUAAGUAUGUUUAAAUACCUUAUUUAUGAAGGAUGGCAUAACAUUGCGUUCUUAGUGCAGUCAGCCCAUGCUAAGUCGGCUGCAGAGCUAUUGUGCUAACUCAUUUAAAUAUUGUUUAAAUAUAAAAGGCUGUUAAUUUAUCAUUCCGGAACGAGAUAAUUGCUGUUAUUUGGCGGUGUGUGAUGUUUACCGGGAGUUCAAUUUGGUUGUUGCAGAACCACACGUAUAUCCCCACGAAAGCAAGUUGCUCUUGUUAAUAAAGGCUGGUGGAACGACGGACUGAUGCAUUCUGACCGAUGCACACUCAGGGCUCAUAACGCCAUAAGCAAGCAACAUUAAUAGGCGGCACCUCCUUCUUCACAAGUCCCUCUAAUGAUUAAAAUGCAUCAGCAGCUGCAAAGCUAUUCACAAUCGGACGUGCCAUCAUCACCCACCUUCACACACAGACUGGGGAGCCCCUUUCAGUCCAGGCAGGAGACCAACACUGAGUCCCGAUAAGUGCCAGGCGAUGCACGCUCCGGUUAGUACUGAGUUCUCCCCCUUCCUUUAGGCCACUUAAAAAAAAAAAUUGGUUCUCGUCCCCUCCCGACCCGCCGAAAUGCCUCCGACCCGAAUUUUUUUUAAAUUUUUAUUUCGUAAAAAUCGCAUGGAAAACGCCCAAGAAUGACGAAAUUUGAAUUUCCCGUGCAUUCCACAUCGACGAUUGUCGAUUCGGAACCACUCGGGAACCCUCGGCGCAGAUGCCGUUUUCCAGCCAUUUUGUUUACACUUACUUUGAGUGGGGAAAUUCUCGGAUGUUUUCAAGAGGGUCCAGCUGCAGAAGACUGUAGAGUGGAACUCCACAGGAAAUAUGUCAGCUCCACAGGAAACACGUGAUCUUUAAGAACGUAAAGUGGGGCUAAUCUUUACGCCGUAAAAUGGAGCUCCACAGGAAACACGCCAUCUACACUGUGUUUGUACCAAGAGAGAGUCUGGACUAAGUCUUCGAACCUGAAUUGCCAUUACAUUAAAAGGAACAUUGUUUUAUAAACCAAAUUGUAAACAUGGAUCCCCGUUUAAAAGCGGCUUUGCUUUUUCAAGACAAAAUUAUACGGCGGUGCACACUACCAUGCCGGGACAAGGUACAUUGUCACCCGGACUUGGCUUCCUCCCUACAACUGUGAGCCACUUCAAUCCCUUCCUGAAGCUUGCAGAGAAUAUCAGUCCAGGGGAGUGGUCUGAAAUGAAUGGCUUUGAGUUGGAGGGGUUUCCAAGCCAAGACUUUGAGGUUGACUGUGGCAUCUACAUGUUGAUGGUAAGAUUCGUCAUUCAGAUAUUUUUGGACUGUCAAGAUGCUUUUGAGAAUAAGUCAUGAACAUUGACAUUUAUUUUUUAAUUGACAGUCUGCUUUAUAUGUGGUGCUGGAUGCUCCCUUUUAUUACACCAUAGUAAGUAGCUCUUUUUAGAGAGCAAUAAAGUAUGUGUGCAAAGAAGUCACUAAAUGACACUAAAUUGAUUUU